AUACAGAGGGUGCAAGCGUUAUUCGGAAUUACUGGGCGUAAAGCGCGCGUAGGCGGAUGAUUAAGUCAGUUGUGAAAGCCCUGGGCUCAACCUAGGAACUGCAUCUGAUACUGGUCAUAUAGAGUUUAAGAGAGGGAAGUGGAAUUCCAGGUGUAGCAGUGAAAUGCGUAGAUAUCUGGAGGAACAUCAGUGGCGAAGGCGACUUCCUGGCUUAGAACUGACGCUGAGGUGCGAAAGCGUGGGUAGCGAACGGGAUUAGAAACCCUAGUAGUCC
rnacentral:rRNA from 1 species